rnacentral:rRNA from 1 species
GAAAGCCCGGGGCUCAACCUCGGAACCGCAUUUGAAACUGGCAGGCUAGAGUCUUGUAGAGGGGGGUAGAAUUUCAGGUGUAGCGGUGAAAUGCGUAGAGAUCUGAAGGAAUACCAGUGGCGAAGGCGGCCCCCUGGACAAAGACUGACGCUCAGAUGCGAAAGCGUGGGUAGCAAACAGGAUUAGAUACCCUGGUAGUCCACGCCGUAAACGCUGUCUACUUGGAGGUUGAGGUUUAAGACUUUGGCUUUCGGCGCUAACGCAUUAAGUAGACCGCCUGGGGAGUACGGCCGCAAGGUUAAAACUCAAAUGAAUUGACGGGGGCCCGCACAAGCGGUGGAGCAUGUGGUUUAAUUCGAUGCAACGCGAAGAACCUUACCUACUCUUGACAUCCAGCGAAUCCUUUAGAGAUAGAGGAGUGCCUUCGGGAGCGCUGAGACAGGUGCUGCAUGGCUGUCGUCAGCUCGUGUUGUGAAAUGUUGGGUUAAGUCCCGCAACGAGCGCAACCCUUAUCCUUGUUUGCCAGCACGUAAUGGUGGGAACUCCAGGGAGACUGCCGGUGAUAAACCGGAGGAAGGUGGGGACGACGUCAAGUCAUCAUGGCCCUUACGAGUAGGGCUACACACGUGCUACAAUGGCAGAUACAGAGGGCAGCGAAGCUGCGAAGUGGAGCGAAUCCCUUAAAGUUUGUCGUAGUCCGGAUUGGAGUCUGCAACUCGACU